UUAAACGUUUUGAAAAACGAGUGAAAAUUUGUACUGUAUUCCUUAAUGGAAAAAUUUGAAACAUAAAUAAUGUAUUAAAUACAAGAUCUAAGUCUCAUUACAGGAUUAAAUCAUAGUCGGAGAAAUGAGAAGCUACAGCAUGGAAAGACGUUGGAAGACAGAAAAUGAUGAAAGCAAGAAAUUGUCUUACAGGCUUAGACAAUGGAUAUCCUACACCACCCAUGAAAAAGCUGUGGAAAAGGGGGAGUAUCCAUCCAGAUAAGCCCGAAAAAAAAACCGGAAAAGUGUAAGUAUAAUUCUAACGGAAAAGAUGCAUUUCUAUUUUGGACGAGAAAUGUUACAUUCCAUUGGAAUUUCAUUUUUGGAAAUCGUGAAUACUACUCAAAAUUUGAAUCAAAAUCCCUUUACAAAUGUACAUUUUGUACAGAUUUAAAUCUCAAACAUUAAUUUCAACGCAUUUCAAAAUAGUGAAACAACAAUCAAUAAUGGUCAAUAUCCCAACUAGAAUGAUUAAAAAUUUAAGAGAUAAAUAGACACAUAAAGAGUCAGUAAGGGUCAUAAGGGACCACAUUAACCAAUAAGGGGAUAAAUAAUCAGGGAAAAAUAAAAAAAAAUAAAAUUAUACAAUACAAAAGCGAUCACUAAUUAGGGAAAAUAAGAAAUAGGUAUUACCGCGCAAAAGCGACAUUACAUACACCUUGAGAGCUAGUGACCCGAGAAGACAUCAUCAUUCGUAGCCGGCAUACCGCGGAAUCAAAGGCAAGCAACAUAUCAGUCAAACAUAUAAAAUAGCAGUCAACGGAAGGUAGAGGGUAUUGGAUAUUCUUUGGAAGAACGACACCAUCACACACGAGAAGGUGCACAUAUGGAAAGCGAGUCAAAACAAUAUUCAUCAUUCAAAAAAAUCAUAUCGUCAAAAGACGUUUAUUGAAGCCAAGUUAUGUGCUUAAAGAGAAUUAAGGAAGUUCUCAAACCAUAGCGGAAAUUUUCUGCACUGUAGGUCAUUCGAUCUAUCAUUUUUUUUUGAAAGCAUUCUACGAUUAAAAACCACGAACCUGUUUCACGAACGAUUUUGAAACAAAAAGUUUUUUUUUAACAAGAAAACAAUAUUUGCAUCAGAAAAUUCAAUUUUCAUGACCAACUGGGAGAAGUGAACGAGAGAUGAGCGGGAAAUACUCAGAAGAAGGCAACACCUGGAAAGUCGCGAUGGAUCAGCAGGAACGGAGUAACAGUAAAACUCAUUUUUCGAGUAGAGCGGAAGUACAUCUUACCCAACUGAGGAACGAUUGCAGCAUUGAUAUCGCGACGAAGGAAGUCCAUACCUAACACCCAACGUAAGAUAUUCUAUCUGACUGGACAAGUUUAAGUAUGUGAACGUGAUAAGCAGAACUGUGAUGGAAACUUGAGGAACGAGAGGAUGACCAAUGAGGCGAAGGCGAAGGACAACAUGCUCUCAAGCGUAUCAUACAACAUGAAUGGAGUACAUUGGUUACGAUAAAGUGAUCAGGAAAAUUGCGUUGUGGAUAAAAUACUACCAACUUUGUUAAGAAGAAUUGUCUCCAAAGAUAUACAUAUUUCAUUUCAUUUUAUAACCAAUAUCAUUUUAUAAAUUCAUGAAUAAUAAUAACCAACGCUAACCGUUUGUAUCUUCAAUUAAAGAUAUCAAACAGCUAAUUAACGAAGGGGAUAUUGAACCAACCAUAGCCUAAUUGAUUAAUUAAUCAUUCAUUCUUCAUUAGUUAUUUGCUUUCAUUAACUGAUCAUUUGCAUCAUCAUGAGCAAGACUCAAGCUAGGAUGGUGGCUACCUACAUACGGUACAUUUAAAUUAUUGCAUCAUCAUAUGUGACAUGCGCGAAAGCGAAAUAAACAAAUCAUACGCGGUAGUUGGUCAGCGGGUGACCUAGUUUGCUUCAGCAGGUCUCUACCUGUUCUAGUUGGCAUACGGUAAGCCAAAAAGAAUGCAUAACUACCGGAGUAUAAAAUAAUAAAACAUAUGAAUCAUAUGAGGAAGCAUUCUAGCCGCUUCCAAUUAGAUACUAAGUAAGAGACGCGAGCUUUCUCUCUCGCGCUUUAAUUUCGCGUUUCGAAGUACUAGAAUGUUGGUACUUUAGUAAAGAGAGCGAGAGCGGAGAAUGUGACGCUAGGCGCUUAAGUUAAGUUAAGUGGGGGGAGAAAAAUAACCAAAAAAUUGUAAUUAUAUAUAAGGUUUAAAAUUUGAAUAAAGAGAUGAGUAGUAGUUUUAACAGGGAA